GCAUUUGAGCUAAAGCAAGGGAAGCAUUUCCCCUUCCCCUGGCUGAAAGCUCAGCUGACCCCGAGGCUCUUCUGGUCAUGCUUAGGUAUGUACAUUUUAUGUCACGAAAUCCAGUAUCGACUUAGAGAUUUAAAGCAGCCACCCAAAGAUAUUAAAUGACUCUUGCAUUUUUCUUCAAAGAGAAAUCUUCUUCCUCCUGCCCUAGUUAAGGCCUUAGUUGGGGGCUGCCAGCUGCCAGGGACUGGGCAUGGUGGCUUUUGUCUAUUCUCUCCCGAAUACCCCUCUCCCCACUUGCUGGUUGCUUUCAGAGUCUAAGUGGAGGUGGUGGGUGAGGAUGCAGGGAAGCGGAUGGGGAGCAGGGGAAUAGGGCAGUUUUUACUUGACUGUAUGAUUGCCAGCUCUCUGGGUGUGGCAGAUGGUGAAAGCUCUUUCUGGAGGGUUCCCUGUGUUCUUCAGAAGUUCCCAUCUCAGCCAGGCUUGGUGGCUCACGCCUAUAAUCCCAGCACUUUGGAAGGCGGAGGCGGGCAGAUCACUGGAGCCCAGGAGUACUAGACCAGCCCGAGCAACAUGGCUAAACCUCAUCUCUACCAAAAAUACAAAAAGUAUCUGGGGGUGGUGCUGCACGCCUGUAGUCCCAGCUACUUGGGAGGCUGAGGCAGGAGGAUUGCUUGAACCCAGGAGGUAGAGGUUGCUGUGAGCCGAGUUUGGGCCACUGGACUCCAGCUUGGGCAACAGAGUGAGACCCUGUCUUAAAAAAAAAAAAAAAAAAAGUUCCCAUCUCUAAGGUUUUCUCCUGAAGUUCCCUGUUCUGCACCUCCAUUUCAGGUACAGCUAUGACUCCAUCUUCAACCCCUAGAAAUCCAGCAUCCUCUUCCAACUUCUUUCUGCUGACAUCCCUUUGCCCUUCUCAGAGGCCCUACAGGACUUAAAAUGACCCCCACCUUGGCCCUCUCUCCUGCCAUGGUCCAUCUGAUCCACAUGUGGCCCAUGGGAAGAACUCACACAGCCCCUUCACUCAUCCUAAUGCAGUCCCUCCUGGCACAGUCCCAUGGGGGCCCACAGCUCCAAGUGGCUGCAUGGAAGCCCCCAUCACUAGGCUUGAGUUGAAAGCAGUAGGGCCCCUAACUCCUUGGUGGGGUAGCUUACAGCAUGGCUUUGCCCUUUCUGGAAGUUUCUAUUUCCAAACUCUCCCCAUUCUCCACACUCUAUAUUGUUGGUAGGCUGAGGGCCCUGAGUGCUAUGCAACUGGUUCCCCAUUAUUUCCUUUGUAAAUACUACAUAUGGGAGUCUGUCUCAUGUUCAGUUUGCUAUCUGAUGAUAUUGUGGUAGCCUGCUUCCACAAUGGCCCCUCAUUGUCCCCAUCUCCUGGUAUUCACAUCAUUGUGUCUCCUCCCUCCGUGAACAGGGCCGACCCUUGUAGCCACUUGCUAUUGCAGAGCUGAUGGCAUGCAUCUUCUGAGGCUAGGUCAUUGUUGUGUGUUUAAUGAUGUCCCCCAGAAGAUAUGUUGCAGCCCUAACCCCCAGGGCCUAUAAAUGUGACCUUUUCUGGAAAUAGUCUUCGCAGUUGUAAUCAAGGGUUGUUCUUGACUAGAGUGGGCCCUACAUCCAAUGACUGGUGUUCUCAUAAGGAGAGAGAGACAAAGAGUAGACAGACACAAGGGAGAAGGCCGUGUGAAGAUGGAGACAGAGAUUGGAAUGAUACAGCCACAAGCCAAGAAACAUCUGCGGCCGUCAGAAGUUGGAAGAGGCAAGGAAUGAUUUAUUCUUUCCCACUCAUUGUUUCACCAAUGAGCACCUUCCAUGUGCCACCGUUCUGACCCUGCUGACAAUGUGGUUUCAGACUUCUGGCCCCCAGAACUGUGAAAGAGUAAAUUUCUGUUAAGUUAUCUUGCUUGUGGUACUUUGUUACAGCAGCCCUGUGGAUCUAAUAUAGUCAUAAGAGACAUUGUGACCUCCUCCCUGCUCUCUUGAACCACUCAUUCUGGGAGAAGUCAGCUGCCAUGUCAUGAAGCUACUCAGGGAGGUCCAUGGAGAGGUCCACAUGGCAAGGAACUGAGGCCUCCUGCCAGUAGCCAGCACCAUCUUGCUGGCCAUGUGAGCGUGCCAUCUUAGAUGCAGAUCAUACGGCCCCAGUCAAGCCUUCAAAUGACUGCAUCCCUACUUGACAUUUUGACUGUAACCUCAUGACAAACCCUAAGCCAGAACACCAGCUAAGCCACUCCCCAAUUCCUCAUCAAGAGAAACUGAGAUAAUAAAUGUUUAUUAUUGUUUUAAGCUACUAAAUUUUGAGGUAAUCUGUUAUGUAGCAAUAGAUAACUAAUACUGAUAUCUGUCAUAUUGGGGCCUCAGUGUAACUUGGAACAGAAAGAGUUCCAUAUUAUAAUUCUUAAACAUUACUUGGAAUGGUUAGGGGCCCCAGUGCUAUUCUCUCUGGGGAUAUUUCCAGCAAUGGGCCCCACAGCCAUUUAUAGUGAGUUGUCCCACUUACUCUUUCACCAGUGAGCACUUUCCAUGUGUCAGAUGCCAUAUUAGAGACUGGGGCUAUAGAAAUGAACAGUCUUUUGGGAGGCCGAGGCAGGUGGAUCACCUGAGGUCAAGAAUUUGAGACCAGUCUGACCAACAUGGAGAAACCCCGUCUCUACUAAAAAAAAAAAAAAUACAAAAUUAGCUGGGUGUGGUGGUGCAUGCCUGUAAUCCCAGCUACUUGGGAGGCUGAGGCAGGAGAAUCACUUGAACCUGAGAGGCGGAGGUUGUGGUAAGCCAAGAUUACACCAUUGCACUCCAGCCUGGGCAACAAGAGUGAAAUUCCAUCUCAAAAAAAGAAAAAAAAGAAAUGAACAGCCCUGUUCUUAAUCACUUAACCAGUGGUCAUUAUGGUCUCUGCUAGUAGAGCACUAUGGGCAAGAAGGACAGCACUGCUUUGCAGGGAAGGGAAAAGAGAGACAUCACUGAGGCACUGAAGAGGAGAAGCAUUCAGUGGUAUGACCUUGAAGAGACAAGAAGAGGACCAAGUUCAAGAGUCUGCAAGAACAGUGGGAGGUAGAGCUGGAACUAGAAUCCAGACACCCCACUUCUAGUCUUGAAUUUGCGCUUCCUGAACUACACAGAGGCUGGCUCAUGGUACCAGGGUCUCUAAAGAUACCUGGAGGCAUGAACUUGAAUCCUGCUGGGAUACUACUCUUUGAAUAAUAAUUUCUCUAUGGAAAGGCAGGGUACAAAGUCUUGGAAUCUUGUUUCUGCUCUGCCAUCUUAGCUAAAUAACUCCCUUUGGAGAUCCUUUGAACCCUGAUAGAUCAGCAAGCCCCCUCUGAAACAUCAUAAGCCUCAGGGCAAGAAGGCUGGCCUUCUCCUCCAUCUGAAUCCCAGCCCUUCUUUUUUUGAGAUGGAGUUUUGCUCUUGUUGCCCAGGCUGGAGUGCAAUGGCGCGAUCUCGGCUCACCACAACCUCUGCCUCCUGGGUUCUAGCGAUUCUCCUGCCUCAGCCUCCUGAGUAGCUGGGAUUACAGGCAUGCAAAACCAUGCCCUGCUAAUUUUGUAUUUUAAGUAGAGACAGGGUUUCUCCAUGUUGGAAAGGCUGGUCUUGAACUCUCGACUUCAGGUGAUCCGCCCGCCUCUAGCCCUUCUUAGUAGUGGUGUUUUCUAAACAGGUUAGAUAAGAAUUUGACACCUGCUGAAAUCUCCAGGCUGGCUCCUCCCAAGGUCAAAUUGCACAUCUUGCCAACGAGAACAGCCUUCACUUCUUGAGCAUCUACUCAGCAGCAAGUGAUUUCUCUAAUCUUCACAACACCCUCUCAAGGCAAGGGAUCAUGGGCCACACUUGGCAAUCUAGGAAAGUGAAGUUCAAGAACAAGCCCCAGGACACACAGCUAGUGACAGCGAGGCACAGAGCUGGGAUUCCAACCCAGGCCUGUCUAACCCUAAAGCUCCUCCUAUCCACCUCCUCCUUGCUGCCACAGAAGGUGACUCAGAGGUACUCAGUCUGGAGAAUUCAAGCCAGUAUCCCAGGAAGUGGAAUUUUCUCCAGUGUUCUAGGAAGGAGGGAUUACCAUGGCAUGGGGUGGGCCAGGUAGACACAAGAGGCAGUGAAGGUGCAUAAAGUGGUGAUUAAAGGGAAUGGAGUCUACUGUGGUUUGGAUAUGGUUGCGUCAACCUAAACUCAUGUUGAAAUUUGACCCUCGGUGUGGUGGUGGUGGGAGGUGGGGCCUAGUGGGAGGUGUCUGGGUCAUGGGGGCAGAUCUCUCAUGAAGGGCUUAGUGCCAUCCUCACAGUGGAGAGUGAGUUUUCACCCUGGCAAGACUGGAUUCUUGUAGGAAUGGAUUUGUUCCCAAGACAGUGGGUUGUUAUAAAGCCAGGAUGCCCCUUGGGUUUUCCCUUCUUUGCAAGUGUUCACUCUCCCUUUGACCUUCUGUAUGUCGCAGCCCUCACCAGAGGCUGAGCAGAUGCUGAGGCCAUGCUUCUUGAUUCUCCCAGCCAACAGAUCUGAUGUCACUAUCAAUCACGCUUCGACUGAGUACAGCCAAACCAGGAUACUCAGGGACUUGGAAUCUGUUACCAGACUUUUAUUUAGUACAGACACAGCGCCAGGGGGCUGAGCAUUCUUCAGCAACACCCUUUGGACCCCUUUCUACACCAUCAUGCUGUAUGAACAGAAGGGUUGGGGACAUGAAGGAGCAGCUCAGCUAAGGUGACCCAGAUGGUUGGGCUCAGAGCUGGAAGAACACCGUGGUCUUCUGACUCCCAAUUCCUGCAUCUGUCCUGCUUGUAAGAGGCUUGCCAAGAACAGGAGCUUUUGUUUGUAGGUCUCUAGGGAUGGCCACCACAGGGAGUGUGAUUUGAAGAUGGGGUCGGCGUGACAUUACAGGCCCCCUUUAGGCUCUGCUGGGUUGCAGGCCAGCUCUCUGGGCUGCCUUUCUGAUGGCUGCUAUUUUAAAGGCAGAUAGGAUGAAGUUAGCAACAACUUAUAUCAUUAAACUAGCAAGGGCUCAGGAGGGGCAGCCCCCUUCUGGGAAUGUGCCUAGCUCCUGCUCCAGAAUGGAGGAGUUUCUGUGGCUCUAGGAGAGCUGGCCUUCUAUGGAGUCUGAGCAAUGUACCGCACGGGGAGGAGAAGACGCUUCCAGAAGAUACCAGUGUUUCUAUCCAGAGACGUUUCCAGGACACCACGUUAAGCAGCAGAGACACUAGAAGCCAAGGCACCUAUGGUCUGGUGUGGAUGUGUGCCUCCUGUGCCUCAGUGGCAUCAUCCGUACCAUGGGAGGUGUGUAAUGAGGGGUGAGAUCACGUCUGUGAGGGCACGUACAUAGUAGAUGCCCAGGAAGUGCCAGUCCCCAUCUCCUUCCCAGUUUCUUCAAAGCCUUCUGGAAGGCACUGGCAUAGCCCAGUCCUGAGGCACUGCUUUUUCUUUCAUGGAUGAUCAGGAGCUUCUGUGAUUUCUUCCCCCUCACUCUUCAUUUUGCCAAGAUGUUGCCCAUAGUAACCUCAGCAGUGGAGCGAGGAUUCUGCACUGUUCCACUGCCCUGGGGCUGCACACCCACGUGAGCGGGGCCGACCCGUCCCAGAGCGCUUUGCCCUCAGAAGGCAGCAUCACCUGCAGGAGCAAUGCCAUGGACAGCUCUGGCUUGUCCUCCAGGGCCCUGGCAUGGUCAGUGAGAAAAUGCCCCUGGGGCAUGGGCUUCUCCUGUCAGUCAAGUUCAGAAGGCUUCCUGGGGUAGGUAGAGACGCUCCCUACCCAGCUGAGUUAUUGAAAUGAUAGGAGGGAGAAGGGAAGGUCUGGGCAUGUGGCACUGUGAUUUUUUUUUCUUUCUUCUUUUUUUUUUUUUUUUUUUUUGGAGACUCGGGGUAGAAAUGAGGACAGGAAGAAGUACAAUCCGUCUGGGAUUGGUUUAUUUUUAUUGCUUUUUAAAAUCAUGUGACUAAUUGGUGUUCAUUGAAAAAGAGAAAACAAAAAUAAGCCAAGAGAAGACAGCAAAAAUAAUCUGUUAACAUCUUGGCAAAUAUCCUUUUUCUCUGCAUAGAAACGGAGAAUACUUUUGUUUCACUUAUAAAAUGUUUCUUAAUGUACACAGCUUUAUAACCUGCUUUUUGCUUAAUGGGACAAUAUACUAGGACAUGUUUUCAGGCCAACAGAUAAAUAUACUUCACUUGCAUUGAUGCUAUUGGCUCCAUGGUGUUCUGGUGGUUGGUAAUUUACCCUGUCAUUCUGUCUCCCUUUACUCAGUGGCAAAAAUGACCUGGGCACCUGCACCUGGGCCUGGGCUGGACAUCAGUCCUUGGCAGAUGGGGAAGGUUGGCGACCAGCAAGGCACAGAAUAAGGACACACGGUCCCAGCAGACCCUUGGGAUGACCUUGACCACUUGGACCUUGGAGAGAGAGUGGAGAGGAGAAGAACAGAGGGCAAAGCCACAUGGAAGGGAGGGUGCAGGUGGCUGGUGGCUGGAACUCCUAGAGGCUGAGCAGUGGGGGUUGCAGGAGAGAACUGGCUCCUUCUAGACAGGGGAAUAUCGUGGUUAGGGUUCUGGAGUCAGAUUCAAUCUGGGCUCUGUCACCUACUAGCUGGGGAACAAAUAAUUGCGCCUUGGAUCAUCACCUAUAAAACUAAUAAUAGCUACUAAUCAGAUUGAUGUAAGUGCCAGGAUUAAAUGAGAGAGUCUACAAGCUAUAAAAAGUGCUAUGUGGCAGCUGCCUUUAAACAUUCCUAACAUUGGCUUUGUUAUUAUUGUUGCUGCAUUUCCAGGUAACGCAGAAGGGCUUCUCUCUUCCCUAGCCCAUCCCUCUGCCUCAUUUCUCUCACAUUCCUGCUUCUCCUCUUUCUCUUCCUUUUCAACCCUGCAAAAGCCUUGGCUUCGGGAGCAGUGGCAGGAGGGAGGGAAGAGGAGGCUGCAGCCGCUACAGCCUCAUGCCACAUGGGGGCAGCAAGGCCCUCUGAAAUGUGGGCCUGCCUCUCCCACCGCACCUUCUGGCGGGUGCAAUGGCCCAGAAGAAAGAAAUCCAUACCCACCUGGGCCCAGGUAGGGGGGCACUGCCCAGAGGGGUCCCACGGUCCCCAGCCUGGGUCAGCCAGGCCCUGGCAGAGUGGGUGACUGUUACGACAGGUCCCAGGAAGGCAGGGUGCCCCAGAGUGGGGCCGGGUCUGCUCAAGAGGGAGUUGGAGAAUCUGGAGAAGGGUGGGAAGGAGGUGUGAGAGUCCUCCAGGAACCUACAAGCCUCCAGGUGCCAUGAGAGAUGGUCCUGGAAAAUUGGCCAGCCGAACUUGGUCUUUGGGACAACCCAGAAGAGAGAAUUAAGUGGGAGUCAGUAUAGCACAGUGGCUCAGCACAUGGGCUCUGGGGGCUGGCUGGACCUGGCGUCCACUAGUGGCUCUGGCGCUUACCAGCUGUGUGGCCUGGAUCAAUUCACUUAACCUCUCUGAGCCUCCAUUUCCUCACCUGUAAAUAAUAGUGGUACCUACCUCAUAGAGUUUGUGAAAACUAAGUAAGGUAAUAUACAUGGAGCACUUGGCACACUGCCCAAUCCAUGGCAGCUUAGUUAUUUUUAUCAUUAUCAGGUAAGUUGGCCUGAAGAGCUGGGAGACAGUUAUGUAUAGAAAAUGAAUGUGCUGGCCGUGCACAUGCAUGGUGGCUCAAGCCUAUAAUCCUAGCACCUUGGGAGGCAAGGUGAGAGGACUGCUUGAGGCCAGGAGUUCAAGCCCAGCCUGGCCAGCAUGGUGAAACCCCAUCUCUACUAAAAAUACAAAAAUUAGCUGGGGGUGGUGGCACAUGCCUGUAGUCCUAGCUACUCAGGAGGCUUAGGCAGAAGAAUUGCUUGAACCUGGGAGGUGGAGGUUGCAGUGAGUCAAGAUCACGCCACUGUACCUCAGCCUGGGCAACAGAGUGAGACUCCCUCUCAAAAAAAAAAAAAAAAGAAAAGAAAAGAAAAAGAAAAAAUGUGUUUCCCCAAG
rnacentral:lncRNA from 1 species